rnacentral:lncRNA from 1 species
GUCUGUACUAUGCCAUCUUUACCAGAGUUGGCGGCAUAUAGAUACCCAAAUUUCGAUAGUGUAGCUUUCUCAGGCGGUCACUUUUCAUUUGCUCAAUAUCAAUGCUUCAGCUGCAUCAAACAUCUUUUUUACCUCUUCACCAACAACAUCAACAACAACCUUAUGACACCUGUGUUGUCCUUCUAGUCGGUUACAAUGACCAGUUAAUCUAGCAACCACACUGACAGUCUCUCUACUAUCUUCUAAUGGGGGAGAGGUGUGUCCCACCAUGCGUUCCACAUUGUUGUCGCUAUGUGGGCUGGCCGGGGAGGCAAUAACUGUAAUGGGUUGGAAUAUUUUAAAGUGAUGCUUAUACUG